rnacentral:rRNA from 1 species
AAGCCGACGAGUGGCGAACGGGUGAGUAAUAUAUCGGAACGUGCCCAGUCGUGGGGGAUAACGUAGAGAAAUUUACGCUAAUACCGCAUACGAUCUAAGGAUGAAAGCGGGGGAUCGCAAGACCUCGCGCGAUUGGAGCGGCUGAUAUCAGAUUAGGUUGUUGGUGAGGUAAAAGCUCACCAAGCCGACGAUCUGUAGCUGGUCUGAGAGGACGACCAGCCACACUGGGACUGAGAUACGGCCCAGACUCC